rnacentral:rRNA from 1 species
AUUGAACGCUGGCGGCAGGCCUAACACAUGCAAGUCGAACGGUAACAGGAAGAAGCUUGCUUCUUUGCUGACGAGUGGCGGACGGGUGAGUAAUGUCUGGGAAACUGCCUGAUGGAGGGGGAUAACUACUGGAAACGGUAGCUAAUACCGCAUAAUGUCGCAAGACCAAAGAGGGGGACCUUCGGGCCUCUUGCCAUCGGAUGUGCCCAGAUGGGAUUAGCUAGUAGGUGGGGUAACGGCUCACCUAGGCGACGAUCCCUAGCUGGUCUGAGAGGAUGACCAGCCACACUGGAACUGAGACACGGUCCAGACUCCUACGGGAGGCAGCAGUGGGGAAUAUUGGACAAUGGGCGCAAGCCUGAUGCAGCUAUGCCGCGUGUAUGAAGAAGGCCUUCGGGUUGUAAAGUACUUUCAGCGGGGAGGAAGGGAGUAAAGUUAAUACCUUUGCUCAUUGACGUUACCCGCAGAAGAAGCACCGGCUAACUCCGUG